rnacentral:lncRNA from 1 species
UGUGGACUUCUCUUGCAGGUGCUUGUUCUCGACGAUCAGGCGAUGAGGGAAUUGGCCGCAACAGGUUUGGCACGCCAGGUAGGGGUCGGGAUCACGACCUCCACAGAGCUUGGAAAAUCCUUUCGAAAUGAUAAGAACUAGGGCUCAGCGAUCGAAGACCACCGAAUCGGUGAGGCACUCUUCCCACCGGGAAGAGGCCUCUCCUCUGCCCUCCAUGGCGGAGCCCAGCUCUCUGCAUCCUGUGGUGACCACGGAGGUGCAAAUCACGAUGAUUGUACGACAGAUGACUUUGCUGACGGAUGCAGUCAAGAGCCUUCAACAACAACAAACCCGGUUGUCUCAUUCAUCGGCGGGGCAAUCAGCGGCAC